rnacentral:rRNA from 1 species
AGCGUAGACGGAGCAGCAAGUCUGAUGUGAAAGGCGGGGGCUCAACCCCUGGACUGCAUUGGAAACUGUUGAUCUUGAGUACCGGAGAGGUAAGCGGAAUUCCUAGUGUAGCGGUGAAAUGCGUAGAUAUUAGGAGGAACACCAGUGGCGAAGGCGGCUUACUGGACGGUAACUGACGUUGAGGCUCGAAAGCGUGGGGAGCAAACA